GGAAUUUUUCCUUUAAAUUUAGUGACAAAAAAUAAAUGGAAGAACAGAAAAAAAGAAUUCAGAAAGACUACCGCGAAAAAACUGGAUUAUUGUUGAAUAUUCCAAAACAAAGUUUUGGAACCAUUAAUGAUGGCGAUAUGGCAAGGAGAUAUUUUAGUGAUCCACAAUUAGUAUCUCAAAUAACCCGAGUCAAUGAAAAAUUAAUUAAUCGUUUUGCCAAAAUUUCGAAUGUCCUUGCAAGUGGGUUUGAAGUCAAUUAUGUGGAUUUUGAACGAUUUUAUACUAAAACAACCGAGUAUUAUUUUCAAUGUUACCCUUGGUACUAUAUGCCCCCUACGGUACACAAAAUUUUGAUAUGUGGGUCAAGCGUAGUAAAAUUUGAUCUACUGUCUAUAGGCUAACUUUCAAAAGAAGAUUUGGAAGUAAGAAAUAAGGACAUAAGAAAUUUUCGACUAAAUCAUACACGCAAAUUUUCCUGAAUUAUUACCAAUCAAGAUUUUUUUCAGAGACUUUUAUGUACAUCUGAGCUACAUAUACUCUACAUAUUACUAUAAGUUUAAAGAAUUUGCCAGAAGAGAUGAACAAUUUGAUUAUUUUAGAGGAAUCUAAUAAUAAUGAAUCUGUUAGUGAUGAUGGC